rnacentral:rRNA from 1 species
AGUGAACGCUGGCGGUAGGCCUAACACAUGCAAGUCGAACGGCAGCACAGAGGAGCUUGCUCCUUGGGUGGCGAGUGGCGGACGGGUGAGGAAUACAUCGGAAUCUACUCCGUCGUGGGGGAUAACGUAGGGAAACUUACGCUAAUACCGCAUACGACCUACGGGGGAAAGCAGGGGACCUUCGGGCCUUGCGCGAUUGAAUGAGCCGAUGUCGGAUUAGCUAGUUGGCGGGGUAAAGGCCCACCAAGGCGACGAUCCGUAGCUGGUCUGAGAGGAUGAUCAGCCACACUGGAACUGAGACACGGUCCAGACUCCUACGGGAGGCAGCAGUGGGGAAUAUUGGACAAUGGGCGCAAGCCUGAUCCAGCCAUACCGCGUGGGUGAAGAAGGCCUUCGGGUUGUAAAGCCCUUUUGUUGGGAAAGAAAUCCAGCUGGCUAAUACCCGGUUGGGAUGACGGUACCCAAAGAAUAAGCACCGGCUAACUUCGUGCCAGCCGCCGCGGUAA